UACGAAGGGUGCAAGCGUUACUCGGAAUUACUGGGCGUAAAGGGCGCGUAGGCGGCUUGGCAAGUGGAUGGUGAAAUCCCUCGGCUUAACCGAGGAACUGCCGUCCAAACUGCUUCGCUUGAGACCGGGAGAGGUGAGUGGAAUUCCCAUUGUAGCGGUGAAAUGCGUAGAUAUUGGGAGGAACACCAGUGGCGAAGGCGGCUCACUGGACCGGUACUGACGCUGAUGCGCGAAAGCGUGGGGAGCAAACAGG
rnacentral:rRNA from 1 species